CGGUGAAUACGUUCCCGGACCUUGCACACACCGCCCGUCAAGCCAUGGAAGCUGGGUGUACCUAAAGUCGGUAACCGUAAAGAGCCGCCUAGGGUAAAACUAGUGACUGGGGCU
rnacentral:rRNA from 1 species